rnacentral:rRNA from 1 species
GGACCAAGGAGUCUAGCAUGUACGCGAGUCAUUGGGACUAUUUAAUUGAAACCUAAAGGCGUAAUGAAAGUAAAAGUUUAUAUUUUUACAUGAACUGAGGGAAGAUGGGCUACCCUAUUGGUGUAGCCCCGCACUCCCGGGCCGUCCCGUACUCAUUGCGAGUUGGGGCGGACCAAGAGCGUACACGCUGGGACCC